UCUUCCCCCACCUCUCCAAAUAAUAAACAGCCUGGGCCUAGAUGACGUGAAGUGUGAUAAGAAAAGGUAGAUAUGGAACACGAGAUGUCUGUUAUUUUAUCUCAUCCUUGCCAGUUGUCAGACUGAAAUUUCAGAAAACACCCCCAAACUUCCAAAAAGAUCCCAAGCGAGGAAGAUGAACGUUAAGUCCCCGUGAAGGAAACCAAUAGGGUAAGGGGGUAAAGGAAACCCCGAACUGUGCACGGAGGCGAUGAGGGCGUGUAGCCAGAAAAGGGAGAGGGACUGCAGGACGCUCGGGGGGAGAACCUGGAAUGGGAUUAAAGUCCGCCGGGCGAGCCUUUCCCCCGCGGCCGCGCGGCGUCGCCUAAUUCAGGACACCCAACCGGGGUCCAAAGUGUCCGCGCAGCGAAUGCUCGCGCCCUUCCCGGUUCCUCCGCUCCUACCGCACCCGGGGCGCCGUUCGCCCCGUCGGACCCCUCCCCGAGGACCAGCAGCACAGAGGACACGAGCCCGACCCUCAGCGCAGCCCGCAGCCGCCUCGGCUCGGGGCCGCCGCAUGGGCCACCCACACCCUGGACCGCAACCGGACCGCCGCGUCGCCGACGACCCCAGCCCCGAGCCCCAGCUGCCGCGGCCGGAACGAGCGCCGCCGCCCCACACUCACCGCGGCGCUCCAUCCCGCGUCUCGGACGCGGACGCCCGCCCAACACUCACGGCCGCCGCCGCCUCCGCCGAGGGCUGGAGCUCGCCGCCCCCAUCCCCCACGGCCCGCGGACGCCGGGCCAAGCCGCCGCCGCCGCCGCCGCCGCCCCAGCAGCUACGGCCACCACCACGCCGCCCCGCUCGCUCCGCCCCCCAGGCCUCGCACCGCCCGCCCGGCCGCGGCCCGCCCCCUGAGGCCCAGCCCAUUGGCCCGCGCGCCCGAGGGGGGCGGGGCUCCGGCGCCCUGCAGCAGGUGGGGGCGGCUGCCGGCUCCAGCACGCGGAGCGCGGGUUGUCCUCGGUGCCCCAGCGGGCAGGCUGUCCCCAACAUUGCAGGACGUGUUAGCCACCGUGUGCGGCUUGCGGCGCGACAGGCGGAGCGAACCUUAGGCACAAGGCACCUUUUGUAUCGUCCAGCAGGUGGAACAGACAGUGUUUUAAAUUGUGAAGCACGUGGGUUGCUCUUCAAAAUAAAUGCAUUUGGAAUCCCGCAGAGAAAAUUCUAACCAAGUUGGAACCAUCUAAAAUACAAAUUCAUUCAUUCAGCAAACACUGGGUAAAUAUUCCACAGUGUGAUCUGCCAGACAAGGAGAGAGGAGAAGGAAGACAAAAGAGCAGGCUGGUGAUUUGCUUUUCCCUACAAUCCCUACUGGAGGGUUGGUUAGAGUUAUUCUUCUCCAUCUCCAAGAUGUAGCACUGGAAGGGAAAACAACCCAAGCUCCUGGGAGCAGAGGGGUUAAGUACUCUGGGGAAAAUAAAUACAUCUUGGUAACUCCAAAUUGUCUUCAAAUUUUAUGUUUAUUGGCCAGUUAAUAAUAUCUUCUAAGGAAUUUUUCUGUACACGGAUAACAUCCCCAUUCCUAAUUCUGCUAAUUGCACAAAGCCAUGAGAUGGUUUGAGGUUCAUUCGUACACACACACACACACACACACACACAGUGUAUUUUGUACAGUUUAGGAUCCUCUGCUUCCCUUAAAGGGGAAGUACUGAGAACAGCCAUUCUGCUGUGGACUUAAUAAAAGGUAAGAAUUGGAAGGGAAUUUGGUUUUUGGUUUUUGUUUUUAUUAUGUCCAGUUAGCCACUGUAUAGUACAUCAUUAGUUUUUGAUGUCGUGUUCCAUGAUUCAUUAGUUGCCUAUAACACCCAGUGCUCAUCACAACACGUGCCCUCCUCAAUACCCAUCAUCUGGCUACCCCGUCCCCCCACCCCCGUCCCUUCUGAAACCCUCAGUUUGUUUCCCGGAGUCCAUAGUCUCUCAUGGUUCAUGGUUUGUCUCCCUUUCUGAUUUCUCCCCCUUUAGUUUUCUCUCCCUUCCCCUAUGGUCCUCCGAGCUAUGAAAGGGAAUUUGAAAACCUUGUCCAAACCUUUUCCUUUAUAGAUAAGGAAAAGGCAGCCAAAAGGGGUUCAGUGAUUUUCCCUGAAGUUACACAGCUAGUGCCUGGCAUACCAAAGCCUCAAAUCCAUCCUUGGGGUGCAUGCGUGCAUGUGUGUGUUUCUCACCACAUCUAGGGAAGAAACGUCUUGAGAGAUAUUCUGAAACUCAUUAAAAAAUUAACCUAAUGGAGGUUGAAAUUGAGGGUGUCUUAAUUAGUUAUUAAAUUUAUUAAACCAGACUUUGCUGUGGACCUUCAGGGAACAGUCACAUUAAAAUAUUUUAAGCCAUAUAAAAACCUCACUUUAAUUACUAAGUAGGCACGCUAGCCUGGAAAGAUGGGUUUUGGACCAGCCCAACAGUCAAUAAAUGAGAACAAAUGCUUCCAGCCUUCACAGCAUUAGGCUGCUCACCUGGGAGAACUGCUGCCUUCCCUUGUCAUAGGCCCUCGAGGAAGUGGAGCGAUGAGUACUGAAUUCAAGCUUAUGGGGUAAAGGCACAAAUGGGACCAGUAGGAAAGAUACUAACUUCUGAUGUGCAAGCGAUAGGACGGUAAUAAUAUUGAUCAAUCUGCAUUUGUAAGGAACCCAAGUAGUCUAAUUACUACGUACAUUUGUAACACACCAAGUUGACUCACCACUUGUUAUUAAUCCGGCUAGCAUUCAUAGCAGUGCUGGACAGCAGCGUCCUACUUUCCAGCUUCUUUGACCAUUUGGCCAUGUUCGCUGUUUCUCAGGGUUUCCUUUUGUCCGUUAACACCGUGGUUCUCAAAGAGCAGCUGUGAGGGUCCUCCAGAUGGUUAAUCUCUAGAAGUCUGAAUAUCUCUGCGUAGAUUAGUGAGCAGCUGCUUAUGGUAUGAAGCAGUGCCUCACUCGCCCUGCGAUUUCAUGCCCCUCUUUGUCUCUGCUACCCUCUCGGCCCGGAUCGCCUGCCUCUCUUCUCCGACUGACGCCCUUGUACGUUAUGCUCCAAAGAGGACUUUCCAAUGUCACCUGUCGGUGAGGUUUCUCCCUGACCCCAGAGGGCUGACCCUACUCUCUCCUUUUACUCUAUGCCAUUUCACUUAGCACAGAACCUCUGUUACAACACUUUCAGAGCCGAUCCAAAUCACGGAUUUACUUGUCUUUUUUUUU